CAGGCUCAGAUGCCAUUGUGCUAUGUCCCUGCACAAGCAUGUAUGAAACCAGAGCCGCCAUCCUGGAGAGCUAAGAAGUUAUUUCUGUACUUACAGAAAUAAGUCACAGAUGGUAAGCUCAGAUGCACUAAUAUCAAGACACAGAGCUGCUGCUCUAUGAUUCAAUAUUUUGUCUGAUACAUCCAUCCCAUCAUUCUGGUCACCUAUGCACAGGAUUGGUUGGUCUACUGACUCUCAGAAAGCAACACUUGGAAAACAGAAAGAGACCAGAAAACGAAUCCUCUUUUCAUGCAGUUCCUGGAAGAAUAAGGUCCUUGGCCCAUUCAGUGUACCAAAGGAAUGCAUGCCAAAGAAGAGCUGAUGCAAUUUCAUACACAGAAGCUGUUCAGGUAAAAUAUCCUUUAUCUUAUAACCAUUGGAGAUAUAUAAUUACAAGGUCGGGAGAAAGCUAAAUAUCAUGUUCUCCCUCUAGCUAUUUCAUUUCCUCCCCACCCCACGAUGCGUCAAUCCAUCUCCCUGACCGUACUGUUUCCAUUCUCCAUGUAUUUACACUGACAAGAGACUGAAUUAAUGGGGGAUGGCAAAAGGAGGUGAAAUAGUACUUGCUGGUGAAAAGAAGAAACACACCUGGAGGAAUGGGAUGUUGUCCUUUAUUUCAGUGUGAUUGUGCAAUCUCCAGACAUUAUCUACUAUCCACAUGGCACUCAGCUUGAAUCAUUGUCUUCCCACAUUGCAGNGGUCGGGAGAAAGCUAAAUAUCAUGUUCUCCCUCUAGCUAUUUCAUUUCCUCCCCACCCCACGAUGCGUCAAUCCAUCUCCCUGACCGUACUGUUUCCAUUCUCCAUGUAUUUACACUGACAAGAGACUGAAUUAAUGGGGGAUGGCAAAAGGAGGUGAAAUAGUACUUGCUGGUGAAAAGAAGAAACACACCUGGAGGAAUGGGAUGUUGUCCUUUAUUUCAGUGUGAUUGUGCAAUCUCCAGACAAUAUCUACUAUCCACAUGGCACUCAGCUUGAAUCAUAGUCUUCCCACAUUGCAUGGUAUUGUUUGCACAGUAAGAAGCUGAACCAGCAAGGUGUUUAAGCCCGCUAUCCAUCCAGUGGGAGCUGGGGGCCCACUCAACAUUUCAAAGCAUCAAGUUGUAAAUAAUCAGAAAGAGGCCUCUUGUAGCAAAUGCAGAAUGUUAGCUGUAGCUACGUACCUGUCCUUAUGAAAAAGUCCUAUGUAAUUUAAAAAGAAUGAAACUAAUAGGGUUCUAUAGAAAUUAGUCUAAAAACCCAGUCCUACUGACUUCUAUAACAGGUAAAUGCUAGCGGAUGGGGAAAAACUUAACCAACGAUUGAUCUGUGAUGGGAAUGUUUCUAUUAUUGAAUGUGCAUGACUACUGGAAAUUAUUAUUCUAUUUUUCUUUAUUGUUGGUAUAUUUAUAUAUGCAGUCUGAGUCCUCAAUGAAAUAAUAAUGUAAAAAAAGCAAUAGAAAAGUUGCAAUUUUUGUUAAAUUGCCCAGGAUUUUCCACCAGGGUGGGGAUGUUCUGUUUCCUGUAUCUUCAAGGCGUUCCUGUAUCUUCAGGUCAGAAAAAGGCACACAAUGCUGUCUCUGGGGAUGUUAGUCAUAUAGCUUAGCACACUAUGGGAAGGUGCGCAGGCACUCAGGUGCAGUGUAAGAACUAUAUUGAAUAGACUACAGCAAUCAUGUUUAAGACAGACCUGACACAGAAUGUUCAAGGAGACCCACGCUGUCCAUGUUUUUCCAUGGAGAGUUGACUUAUGUUCUUUUCUUUCUUGUGUUUCCCUAAAUGUGCAAUAAAG
rnacentral:lncRNA from 1 species